GGGUAAUGAUGCCCUAGGCCUCAGUUUCUCCUUAUCGUUGUUUUCUGAAUUGUGUCCAGGAGCUCAUCCUCACGGACUCUUCUCUUCUCCUAAGCCACAGUUAGGGCUCUAGCCACCCUGUCCCAAAAUGUUCCUGCUCUCGUGUGCUCACUCCUCUAGCCCACAGCCCCUCCCCCAUCAUGGCUGGCCAGCACCGCUAAGCCUGGCUUUGGGAAACAGCAGGGGGCGCCCCUCAAAGGUCUGCAGUUCUUCAGAAGAAAGUUCCUGAGGUAAAAUUUCUUGAUGCCGAGGAGAGUGAGGUGAACGUUGAGGUGAAAUUUCUUGAAGUCAGGUCAGCUUCUCUCAGAGCCCGUUGUUUUUUGAUUCAGUGGAGUGGCCUGGAGGUGUCUACGCUUCACUGGGGCCAAACUUCAGCCCCUAGAGUCUUCUCUGAGCUCCUCUCAAGUUGUGCCUUUUACCCCUUUAUUUUUGCUGCUGUGUGUUCGUUUCAUGGCGAUUUUCUGUCUUUUUGUGGAGGAAAUCGGAGAAUCUGGAAAUUUCUGACCUACUCCACCAUCUUCCCAGAAUCCCCUUCAAUCUUGCCGGUGCUAAUGUGGAAGACAGUAUGAGUUGUAUCCAGAGCAAAAGAGCAAAGAAGAGUUCCAAGUGUCCCCAUAGCUACAAUUCCUAGGAUACUGUGAGUUUUCAUCAUACUUUAUUAGAGAUUUCAAUGUCUCCAUUUUCAUUUAGCACUUUGUUGAAAA
rnacentral:lncRNA from 1 species